GUUUUUAUUAUCACUCUUUUUAUUCCAUCACACAUAGAUUUUUAGGAAUCUGUGUACGUUUACGUGUGAUUUAAUCUUGUUUAGUGACGCGAGGAGGCUGCUGUGUAACAGACUUGGUUAAAAAAUCUCCCUCUGGGCACGACAGGCCGGUAAAUCUGAGCUUUUCUGGAGACAGGUGACACCUCCUCUCCUCUGUUAGCUCAGUAAUUCUCCUCGGAGACACUUUUGCUCCAUGACUCCACUGGAAUGCGGCCCAACAGCUGGUGGAAAGUCCGUUUAAUCAAAGCAGGAAAGAGGGGCUCUAAGUAGAGUUUUUCUUAGCAUCUGAAGGUCAGGGCUUUGAUCUUCAUCAGAAAUGCCUCGUUAAACAUCUCUGGGAUUGGGGAAUGUAAAGCCGGCAGCGGCUCAGCUGGCACGAACCGAAGGUGAAGGAACAUUGGCGACAUGGUCAGAAGAUUCGGUCACGGGGCAAAAAA